UAUGUCUGCCACAGCAAGGAAGGAGCAGAAAGGAUUGUCAGUGGCCUAUCCACCGAGGGCCCCCUGAGGAUUCACGGAUACCCCCUCACACAUACACCCCCACCGCUGCCCAGGACCACAUAAUCCCUCACCUCAUCAUCCACGACGCCCCCAUCAAACACUUUGGCCACCAGCUCAUUCUGAUCCAGCAGGAACACAGAGCAGCUGUGGGGAGAUAAGCCCUCUAGGAAGAUCCACUCACAUCUCUGCAUUGCUGAGGUUUCUGGCCUCUGUGAUGAUCUCCUGGAGCAGAACAGAGACAUCAUCUGGGGGAGGGAGAAGAACGGCACAGUGUUGACACCAGGUUGUAGUACUGAGGCCAAGCCUUCCCACCCCUCCUAACCAGACAGCCUCACAUGGAGGACACUGCACUCACCCAGGUGAGUGAAGAGGUUCUUUGCCACUUGAAGAAGAGCCUGGAAUGGAGAAAAUGGAAAUAAUAGCCGAUUGAGGACCCUCUAUCCAGUUCCCCACUUCAAAAUUCCCAGGGGCUUCCCAUUCCUUGUUUUGUGCUCUCUGGACAAGCUACAAUAUGACAAUAUCUAAUAUGUCAUUUGGCUAAUAAAUAAAGAAGUGAGGAAAUAGCCCCAGA